rnacentral:misc_RNA from 1 species
GAUGAAGAACGUAGCGAAAUGCGAUACGUAAUGUGAAUUGCAGAAUUCAGUGAAUCAUCGAAUCUUUGAACGCAUAUUGCGCUCUCUGGUAUUCCGGAGAGCAUGCUUGUUUGAGUAUCAGUAAACACCUCAACUUCCAUAUCUUUUUUGAAAUGGGAGUUGGACUUGAGUGAUCCCAACGCUUUUCCUCACCGAAAAGUGGCGGGUUACUUGAAAUGCAGGUGCAGCUGGACUUUUCUCUGAGCUAUAAGCAUAUCUAUUUAGUCUGCCUAAAAAACAGAUUAUUACCUUUGCUGCAGCUAACAUAAAGGAGAUUAGUUCUUGUGCUGAAUGAUGCAGGAUUCACAAAGACAGGAUUCGGCCGACUUUGUAAACUCGAUCUCAAAUCAAGUAAGACUACCCGCUGAACUUAAGCAUAUCAAUAAGCGGAGGA